rnacentral:tRNA from 1 species
CAGUCAGGAUGGCCGAGUGGUCUAAGGCGCCAGACUCAAGUUCUGGUCUCCGAAAGGGGGCGUGGGUUCAAAUCCCACUUCUGACAUUAC